GUGUCAGCAGCCGCGGUAAUACGUAGGGGGCUAGCGUUAUCCGGAAUUAUUGGGCGUAAAGGGUGCGUAGGCGGUCCUACAAGUCAGAGGUGAAAGGCUACGGCUCAACCGUAGUAAGCCUUUGAAACUGUAGGACUUGAGUGCAGGAGAGGAGAGUGGAAUUCCCAGUGUAGCGGUGAAAUGCGUAGAUAUUGGGAGGAACACCAGUUGCGAAGGCGGCUCUCUGGACUGUAACUGACGCUGAGGCACGAAAGCGUGGGGAGCGAACAGGAUUAGAUACCCUGGUAGUCCACGCCGUAAACGAUGAGUACUAGGUGUCGGGGGUUACCCCCCUCGGUGCCGCAGCUAACGCAUUAAGUACUCCGCCUGGGAAGUACGCUCGCAAGAGUGAA
rnacentral:rRNA from 1 species